rnacentral:rRNA from 1 species
GACGAACGCUGGCGGCGUGCUUAACACAUGCAAGUCGAACGAAGUGGCGAACGGGUGAGUAAAGCGUAAUCCACCUGCCCUUCGGAGGGGGACAACAGUUGGAAACGACUGCUAAUACCGCAUACGGAAGUGGGGGGUUGCGUCGGAUUAGCUAGUUGGAGGGGUAACGGCCCACCAAGGCGAUGUUCAGUAGCCGGUCUGAGAGGAGUAACGGCCACAUUGGGACUGAGACACGGCCCAGACUCCUACGGGAGGCAGCAGUGGGGAAUCUUCCGCAAUGGACGAAAGUCUGACGGAGCAACGCCGCGGGAGUGAUGACGGCCUUCGGGUUGUAAAGCUCUGUUAAUCGGGACGCGGUACCGGAAUAGAAAGCCACGGCUAACUACGUGCCAGCAGCCGCGGUAAUUC